rnacentral:rRNA from 1 species
AUCCCUUGACAUACAGAGAAGUUUCCAGAGAUGGAUUCGUGCCUUCGGGAACUCUGAUACAGGUGCUGCAUGGCUGUCGUCAGCUCGUGUCGUGAGAUGUUGGGUUAAGUCCCGCAACGAGCGCAACCCUUAUCAUUAGUUGCUACCAUUUAGUUGAGAACUCUAAUGAGACUGCCGGUGAUAAACCGGAGGAAGGCGGGGACGACGUCAAGUCAUCAUGGCCCUUAUGGGAUGGGCUACACACGUGCUACAAUGGGGGGUACAAAGAGCUGCCAACUGGCAACAGUGCGCGAAUCUCAAAAAACCCUUCGUAGUCCGGAUCGGAGUCUGCAACUCGACUCCGUGAAGU